rnacentral:rRNA from 1 species
GCAGCCGCGGUAAUACGUAGGUGGCAAGCGUUAUCCGGAUUUACUGGGUGUAAAGGGCGUGUAGCCGGGAAGGCAAGUCAGAUGUGAAAUCUAUGGGCUCAACCCAUACGAGCAUUUGAAACUGUCUUUCUUGAGUAUCGGAGAGGUAAUCGGAAUUCCUUGUGUAGCGGUGAAAUGCGUAGAUAUAAGGAAGAACACCAGUGGCGAAGGCGGAUUACUGGACGACAACUGACGGUGAGGCGCGAAAGCGUGGGGAGCAAACAGGAUUAGAUACCCC